rnacentral:rRNA from 1 species
UACGGAGGGUGCGAGCGUUGUCCGGAAUCACUGGGCGUAAAGGGCGCGUAGGCGGCGCGGGAAGUCAUCGGUGAAAGCUCAGGGCUCAACUCUGAGUCGGCCGGUGAUACUCUCGUGCUUGAGCACUGUAGAGGCAGGUGGAAUUCCGGGUGUAGCGGUGGAAUGCGUAGAGAUCCGGAAGAACACCGGUGGCGAAGGCGGCCUGCUGGGCAGUAGCUGACGCUGAUGCGCGACAGCGUGGGGAGCAAACGGG